rnacentral:rRNA from 1 species
AUGAUGAACCAGAGCGCAUUAAGACUGCAACUCCUUAUUGUCUCUCUAUAUGUGGUGCAUGUGCUUUUCGAAAGUAAAGUAGGAACAUUAGCUGACAAAUUAAACAUUAUCUGUUUUAGUAAUAUCAGCAUCAUAUCAGAUUCAUAUUUGAGCAAAAAGUUUGGAAUUCUGAGUGGCAUGUUGUUUAGCUUGAUGGAUUCAGGAGCAGUUCUAAGCAGCUAUGAUGAUGGUACUGAAUAUAAAGGCAUGUCUACAUGCAAGUCGCGUGACUUUUGUCAUUUGGGUCAGUCGAAAAUUUCAGGUGGUUGGAUGAAGAUCCUACGUCUCCUAACCCUUCUUCUUCCUCGUCUCUGA